AUUGAACGCUGGCGGCAUGCCUUACACAUGCAAGUCGAACGGCAGCACGGGAGCAAUCCUGGUGGCGAGUGGCGAACGGGUGAGUAAUAUAUCGGAACGUGCCCAGUCGUGGGGGAUAACGCAGCGAAAGUUGUGCUAAUACCGCAUACGAUCUAUGGAUGAAAGCGGGGGAUCGCAAGACCUCGCGCGAUUGGAGCGGCCGAUAUCAGAUUAGGUUGUUGGUUAGGUAAAAGCUCACCAAGCCUGCGAUCUGUAGCUGGUCUGAGAGGACGACCAGCCACACUGGAACUGAGACACGGUCCAGACUCCUACGGGAGGCAGCAGUGGGGAAUUUUGGACAAUGGACGAAAGUCUGAUCCAGCAAUGCCGCGUGCAGGACGAAGGCCUUCGGGUUGUAAACUGCUUUUGUACAGAACGAAAAAGUCUUUAAUAAUACAAGAGGCUAAUGACGGUACCGUAAGAAUAAGCACCGGCUAACUACGU
rnacentral:rRNA from 1 species